UGGGGAAUAUUGCGCAAUGGGCGAAAGCCUGACGCAGCGACGCCGCGUGGAGGAUGAAGGUCUUCGGAUUGUAAACUUCUGUUAAGUGGGAAGAAAAAUUUGCGUUUAAUACACGCAAGGAAUGACGGUACCAUUAGAGAAAGCACCGGCUAACUUCGUGCCAGCAGCCGCGGUAAUACGAAGGGUGCAAGCGUUAUUCGGAUUUAUUGGGCGUAAAGGGUGCGUAGACGGUAUAUUAAGUCUAUUGUUAAAUCUUCUGGCCUAACCAGAAAUCUGCAGUAGAUACUGAUGUGCUAGAGGGUGGAAGAGAGAAGUGGAAUUCUCGGAGUAGCGGUAAAAUGCGUAGAUCUCGAGAGGAACACCAAUGGCGAAGGCAGCUUCUUGGUCCACACCUGACGUUGAGGCACGAAAGCGUGGGGAGCAAACAGG
rnacentral:rRNA from 1 species